AUUCAACUGACGAGUCCCAAAUAGGACGAAAUAUACGUCGAAAUGGAU
rnacentral:hammerhead_ribozyme from 1 species